UGGGGAAUUUUGCACAAUGGGGGGAACCCUGAUGCAGCGACGCCGCGUGAGCGAAGAAGGAAUUCGUUUCGUAAAGCUCUGUCCUAUGGAAAGAUAAUGACGGUACCAUAGGAGGAAGUCCCGGCUAACUACGUGCCAGCAGCCGCGGUAAUACGUAGGGGGCGAGCGUUGUCCGGAAUUAUUGGGCGUAAAGGGUACGCAGGCAGUCUAAGAAGUCAGAUGUUAAAGCGUAGGGCUUAACCCUAUAAAGCAUAUGAAACUGAUAGACUUGAGUAAAGGAGAGGAAAGUGGAAUUCCUGGUGUAGCGGUGAAAUGCGUAGAUAUCAGGAGGAAUACCGGUGGCGAAGGCGACUUUCUGGACUUUAACUGACGCUGAGGUACGAAAGCGCGGGGAGCAAACAGGAUUAGAUACCCUGGUAGUCCGCGCCGUAAACGAUGAAUGCUAGGUAUUGGGAGUCAAAUCUCAGUGCCGAAGUAAACACAUUAAGCAUUCCGCCUGGGGAGUACGGUGGCAACACUG
rnacentral:rRNA from 1 species